rnacentral:rRNA from 1 species
CCUACGGGAGGCUGCAGUGGGGAAUAUUGCACAAUGGGGGAAACCCUGAUGCAGCGACGCCGCGUGAGUGAAGAAGUAUUUCGGUACGUAAAGCUCUAUCAGCAGGGAAGAAAAUGACGGUACCUGACUAAGAAGCCCCGGCUAACUACGUGCCAGCAGCCGCGGUAAUACGUAGGGGGCAAGCGUUAUCCGGAUUUACUGGGUGUAAAGGGAGCGUAGACGGCAGCGCAAGUCUGGAGUGAAAUCCCAUGGCUUAACCAUGGAACUGCUUUGGAAACUGUGCAGCUAGAGUGCAGGAGAGGUAAGCGGAAUUCCUAGUGUAGCGGUGAAAUGCGUAGAUAGUAGGAGGAACACCAGUGGCGAAGGCGGCUUACUGGACUGUAACUGACGUUGAGGCUCGAAAGCGUGGGGAGCAAACAGGAUUAGAUACCCUGGUAGUC